rnacentral:rRNA from 1 species
UACAGAGGGUGCGAGCGUUAAUCGGAAUUACUGGGCGUAAAGCGCACGUAGGUGGUUUGUCGCGUCGGGAGUGAAAACACCGGGCUUAACUCGGUGCUUGCUUUCGAUACGGGCAGACUAGAGGCAUGCAGGGGAGAACGGAAUUCCUGGUGUAGCGGUGAAAUGCGCAGAUAUCAGGAGGAACACCGGUGGCGAAGGCGGUUCUCUGGGCAUGUCCUGACGCUGAGGAGCGAAAGUGUGGGGAGCGAACAGG